GGUUGACCUCGGAUCAGGUAGGGAUACCCGCUGAACUUAAGCAUAUCAAUAAGCGGAGGAAAAGAAACCAACAGGGAUUACCUCAGUAACGGCGAGUGAAGCGGUAACAGCUCAAAUUUGAAAGCUGCCAACAGGCCGCGUUGUAAUUUGUAGAAGAUGCUUUGGGGGUCGGCCUAGUCUAAGUUCCUUGGAACAGGACGUCAUAGAGGGUGAGAAUCCCGUAUGUGAUUAGUGCCGGCUCCCGUGUAAAGCUCUUUCGACGAGUCGAGUUGUUUGGGAAUGCAGCUCAAAAUGGGUGGUAUAUUUCAUCUAAAGCUAAAUAUUGGCCAGAGACCGAUAGCGCACAAGUAGAGUGAUCGAAAGAUGAAAAGCACUUUGGAAAGAGAGUUAAACAGUACGUGAAAUUGUUGAAAGGGAAGCGCUUGCAACCAGACUUGCAGGCGGUCGAUCAUCCGAGGUUCUCCCCGGUGCACUCGAUCGUCUUCAGGCCAGCAUCGGUUUUGGUGGCGGGAUAAAGGCUCUAGGAAUGUGGCUCUUCGGAGUGUUAUAGCCUAGGGUGCAAUGCCGCCUACCGGGACCGAGGACCGCGCUUCGGCUAGGAUGCUGGCGUAAUGGUUGUAAGCGGCCCGUCUUGAAACACGGACCAAGGAGUCUAACAUCUAUGCGAGUGUUUGGGUGUCAAACCCAUACGCGUAAUGAAAGUGAACGGAGGUGAGAGCCCUUUAGGGCGCAUCAUCGACCGAUCCUGAUGUCUUCGGAUGGAUUUGAGUAAGAGCAUAGCUGUUGGGACCCGAAAGAUGGUGAACUAUGCGUGAAUAGGGUGAAGCCAGAGGAAACUCUGGUGGAGGCUCGCAGCGGUUCUGACGUGCAAAUCGAUCGUCAAAUUUGCGUAUAGGGGCGAAAGACUAAUCG
rnacentral:rRNA from 1 species